AAUUAACAGAGGCAAAUAUUCCACCUGGACCGUUGGACGUGGUGCUUUGGAAUCUGGGUCCGUAGCAUCCAUUUCUCUGGGGCCGGAUCAAUAAAAGGAUGGGAAAGAACCAGGAACGGCAAAAGAAAAGGCUCGGCAGGAUCAAUGACAACAUUUCUUCCACAUUCCACUCCUAUUCCACACUCGAUUAGCAAAACCCGCGCGAUGAAAGGAGCUGGGAAUGAAGGCGCAGAGGAGGGAGGAGAGCUGGGAUCGCCCCCAGCGUGCCCGGCCUUUGUCUCGGGCGGGUUUUGGCCGCCGGCCGUGGCCACCUCGCCUUUCUUUCUGCCGCUGACCUGAUUCCGCUCCGCUCGCCCCUCCCCGCUCCCCCAGCGCCCCAUGUGAUCCUUUCUUCCCCCUAAAUAAAGUUGACAAAUUCGCCGGGGCUCAGAUGGUGCUGCCGGGGGGGUGUGGAGCGGAUCCGCCCGAGCUGCCCCCCCCCCCCCCCCCCCCCCCCCCCCCCCCCCCCCCCCCCCCCCCCCCCCCCCCCCCCCCCCCCCCCCCCCCCCCCCGGGCUCGGGGCUACCGGGCUGGGCUCCGGGCUACCUACCCGGGCUCCGGGCUACCUGCUCAGGGCUACCUAACCCGGCUCCGGGCUACCUGCUUGGGCUCCGGGGCUACCUGCCGGGGCUCAGGGCUACCUGCUCGGGUUCCUGGGCUACCUGCUCCGGUUUCUGGGCUACCUGGCCGGGCUCGGGGUUCUCUGCCCCGGCUGCCACCGCACGCAGCCCCGGGGAGCGGGGAGAACGCGGCCGGAGCCAGAAAACAAGGAAUCCCAAAGUGCAGCUGGCUGAGCCUCCCCUGACCUCAACAUCUGGGACCAAAGUGAUCUGGGCUGGAAACUUUGGGGCACAGGCAGCUGUUCCUGGCAUCAAAUCCCACUGCUGAGCCUCCCCUGGCAUCAAACCUCACUGCUGAGCCUCCUCUGAUAUCAAACCUCACUGCUGAGCCUCCUCUGAUAUCAAACCUCACUGCUGAGCCUCCUCUGAUAUCAAACCUCACUGCUGAGCCUCCUCUGAUAUCAAACCUCACUGCUGAGCCUCCUCUGAUAUCAAACCUCACUGCUGAGCCUCCUCUGAUAUCAAACCUCACUGCUGAGCCUCCUCUGAUAUCAAACCUCACUGCUGAGCCUCCUCUGAUAUCAAACCUCACUGCUGAGCCUCCUCUGAUAUCAAACCUCACUGCUGAGCCUCCUCUGAUAUCAAACCUCACUGCUGAGCCUCCUCUGAUAUCAAACCUCACUGCUGAGCCUCCUCUGAUAUCAAACCUCACUGCUGAGCCUCCUCUGAUAUCAAACCUCACUGCUGAGCCUCCUCUGAUAUCAAACCUCACUGCUGAGCCUCCUCUGAUAUCAAACCUCACUGCUGAGCCUCCUCUGAUAUCAAACCUCACUGCUGAGCCUCCUCUGAUAUCAAACCUCACUGCUGAGCCUCCUCUGAUAUCAAACCUCACUGCUGAGCCUCCUCUGACCCCCCCCCCCCCCCCCCCCCCCCCCCCCCCCCCCCCCCCCCCCCCCCCCCCCCCCCCCCCCCCCCCCCC
rnacentral:lncRNA from 12 species